GGCACUUUGGCGGAGUGGUUAACGCGUUGCCCUGCUAUAAAUGUCUAUGUAAAUAGACAAAGACAGGCAAUUCCUUCGGGAGCAAGAGUUCGAAUCUCUUAGGUGUCG